GUGCUUAUAUUGAGCUUAUUUUUAGGAGAGUUUGUUGCGUGGCAGGAUAUAUUUUGAUAUUUCAAAAUAUUACUGUAUAUUGGUAUGUUAUACUUGCCGGUAAUGCUUUUGGAAGGGUUAUAGGUGUCGGGUGUGAUAUACUUUUCCAGGUAUUUUGUGUCUGAUGUAUGUAAGAGCUUUAUUGGGUUUCUUGGUGAGACCUUAUCUUAUGUGUCCCAUAACCCUCUGUAAUUGCGGAUUAUUGCAUACAUUCUAAUUGUAUUUUUUUUGUAGGAGUCCGAAGAUGCAAAUGAUACAAUUUCAAACUUAUCACAACCCAUAUUGUGGCCGCUGGCAGCGAACUAGAAUACGACUAGAAACUGUCAAUCAUACGUUAUCGAGGGGAAGGAUGAAAGUUCCAUAACAAGCAACAGUUGUUUUGAUGCAAUUAUCGCCUUAUUGGCAAGUUUUUACAUCUUCAAUAUUGAGUACUGCCACACGAAGAGCAUCUUGUCUGCCUUGCAGACUAUAGUAGUGCAUGGGCAACACAGAAAAUGGCAUACAACUGCCAAUAGUGAGUUUAAGCAAGUGACGUUUUUGACAACACAGACGUCGACCGGAGGGAAAGUUGACGUUUUUCACCAAUCACAGUCCUUGACCCAGUCUUCUGACGUUGCUCAUGCCGUCAGUGUUGUCAAAAACGUCACUUGCUUAAGCUCACUAAUGAGGGUCACAGCCCUCUUCAAUGACUUGUCAUGACUCAUGAAUAUUAGUACUACAGUAAUUUUACACUUUUUGAGAGUUAUGUUGACAUAUGCUAACCCAAGUUAAUGUUAUUGAUGGAAUGUGUGUAUUGUCUCACAUCUCACCGAACUGUGGUAAUGUAUUAAAAAUUAUUCGUAUUGCGUUCACGUUAACAACCGCGCCUGCUAUUGCUAUCACAAGUUGAUUGCUCUUUAAAAUUAGAAUUGUAAACUUUCGGAGCCAUAUGGCAUAUAUGUACGAAUCUUUUGAUGGUUCCCAUAUUUCGGUGAGAUACAUAAUACUGACUACUGUGCAUGUAUAUUGUAAUUUUAGUUAUAGUAUUGUGUUUAUAAUACAGAAAUUGGAACAUUAUUUAUCUCAACUUAUAUUACAAUAAUUAAUUCCAAUCUUGGU
rnacentral:lncRNA from 1 species